AGAGUUUGAUCCUGGCUCAGGAUGAACGCUGGCGGCGUGCUUAACACAUGCAAGUCGAGCGAAAUAAUUGGGAGCUUGCUUUUGAUUAUUUUAGCGGCGGACGGGUGAGUAACGUGUGGGUAACCUGCCUUUUACUGGGGAAUAAUCACUGGAAACGGUGACUAAUACCGCAUACGGUUCUUGGAAGGCAUCUUCUAGGAAAGAAAGGAUUUAUUCGGUAAAAGAUGGGCCCGCAUCUGAUUAGCUAGUUGGUGAGAUAACAGCCCACCAAGGCGACGAUCAGUAGCCGACCUGAGAGGGUGACCGGCCACAUUGGGACUGAGACACGGCCCAAACUCCUACGGGAGGCAGCAGUGGGGAAUAUUGCACAAUGGGCGAAAGCCUGAUGCAGCAACGCCGCGUGAAGGAAGACGGUUUUCGGAUUGUAAACUUCUAUCAAUAGGGAAGAAAAAAAUGACGGUACCUAAAUAAGAAGCCCCGGCUAACUACGUG
rnacentral:rRNA from 1 species